UACGUAGGGUGCGAGCGUUAAUCGGAAUACUGGGCGUAAAGCGUGCGCAGGCGGCGCGUUAAGACAGGUGUGAAAGCCCCGAGCUUAACUUGGGAAUUGCGCUUGUGACUGGCGUGCUGGAGUGUGGCAGAGGGAGGUGGAAUUCCACGUGUAGCAGUGAAAUGCGUAGAGAUGUGGAGGAACACCGAUGGCGAAGGCAGCCCCCUGGGCCAAUACUGACGCUCAUGCACGAAAGCGUGGGGAGCAAACAGG
rnacentral:rRNA from 1 species